rnacentral:rRNA from 1 species
AUGGAUGGUCAUAGUGCUAGCUUGGAGGAGAUAGAAGAAUAUCACAUGAUGGUUAGUCAGAUGUUUGCAAGCGAGAACCAAGGUUACGAGCACUACAACAGAUAUGCAAGAGCAAAAGGUUUUAGUGUCAGAUUGGAUGACAAGGAGUACGUGAAGGGCACCAGAGAGGUGAAAGCAAGACGUUUCUGCUGCUCUAAAGAAGGGCACCGAUUGGAGAAGUACUUUCAAGCGACUGACCAAAAAAGGGAGCCACGGGCGCUGACCCGUUGUGGUUGCAAAGCUAUGCUUGAGAUCCAACAUGAUGCAGGCAGGGGUCAGUGGUUUGUUAAGAAGUUUGUUGAUGUCCAUAACCACCCGCUAGCCGACCCGGACCAAUCUGCUUUUCUACGGUCUCACCGUCGGAUGAACGAUGCUCACAAGGCUGAUGCAGUGGAAUACGGACUUGGUGGUCUCCGUACGUUCCAAAUCAUGAAUGUGGCUGAGAAACAGCAUGGUGGCUAUCCUCAUGUUGGGUAUAUUUCCCGAGACCUGUACAAUUUCUUCGCCAGGUACAAGAAAAAAAGAAUCUUAGGCAGGGAUGCUGACUUUGUGCUGAACCAUAUGAGAGUACAGGAAGAACGAGAUGCUGAGUUUUUCUUCAAAUACACCACGGAUGAUGAAGGACAUCUUCGAAAUUUAUUCUGGGCAGAUUCACAGUCUCAGAUUGAUUAUGAAGCAUUCAGAGAUGUAGUUGUGUUUGACAGCACUUAUCGGGUCAACCGCUACAAUCUCGCUUUUGUUGCAUUUGUUGGACUGAACCAUCAUCGUAGUACUGUUGUUUUCGGGAUUGGUGUUGUUUCAGAUGAGACCCACAAGUCAUACGAGUGGCUACUUCAGACCUUUGUAGAGGCGAUGGGUCAUAAGGAGCCCAUAUCUGUUAUCACAGAUGGAGACUCGGCAAUGAGAAAAGCAAUUAGGAAGAUUUUGCCAAGGACAGACCAUCGGCUAUGCAGUUGGCACAUUGAGCAGAACAUGAUACGCCACCUGCGUAAUCCAAUGCUUGAUGACUUCAGAAAACUCAUAUACUGUCGAAUGGGAGUUUACCAGUUUGAGAAAUCAUGGGCUGAGUUCAAGGCGAACUAUUAG